CCUCCUGAAGUGACUGAAACUCAUCGGCAUGUGUAUUUGGCCCAGGCUCUGUGUAAGAGGAUAAUCAUCCGCAUUAAGGAGCGCUGCCAGGGAGCAGCUUUAUGGACUGAACACAUAUCAGGAAAUCAGAGGAUUUUGUCUGAUGACACAGAUUCACUUGAAAAGGAUUACUGUCCUCUCUUUGACUAACUGAGGCCAGGUGCUGCUCACAUACUGCAUGCUCUCUUCGUCUGUCUUCGCUAAUCUCCUGCAGCUUCUGUCUGCAGGCCUGUCGAGGACUCCGGAGGUUGCCCUGCAGGCUCUCAGCUCUUGAAUCACUGAACUAGAAGCUCUGCUUGCCUGUGUCCUAUCCUGUCUAUCUAUCUAAUACAUCCUUCUUUCAUUUCAGAUGUCAAAGUAAAACCUCUCAGGAAAAGAUGCUCCUGUUUAGUUUGAGAUCAUUAAUGUUUGAAAUAUAUCUGAGAGCAGAAUAAUCUAGUCAGAACAUUGUGAUUAAUUUGUGCUCAUUUCCUCGCUGGUCCAUGGAGAAGCCAUUAUGGCACGUUCUUGUCACAUUGGAUUUACUGCAAACAUGAACUAUCAACUGCAAAAGCAAUUUACUGAAGUCUGCUGGCUUCAUUUUUUUUUAUGCACA